rnacentral:rRNA from 1 species
UACAGAGGUCUCAAGCGUUGUUCGGAUUCAUUGGGCGUAAAGGGUGCGUAGGCGGCGCGGUAAGUCGGGUGUGAAAUCUUGGAGCUUAACUCCGAAACUGCAUUCGAUACUGCCGUGCUUGAGGACUGGAGAGGAGACUGGAAUUUACGGUGUAGCGGUGAAAUGCGUAGAUAUCGUAAGGAAGACCAGUGGCGAAGGCGGGUCUCUGGACAGUUCCUGACGCUGAAGCAACGAAGGCCAGGGGAGCAAACGGG